UACGUAGGCAGCGAGCGUUGUUCGGAGUUACUGGGCGUAAAGCGUGCGUAGGUGGCCAACUAAGUCAGACGUGAAAUCCCUCAGCUUAACUGGGGAACUGCGUCUGAGACUGGAUGGCUUGAGUGCAGGAGAGGAACGCGGAAUUCCAGGUGUAGCGGUGAAAUGCGUAGAUAUCUGGAGGAACACCGGUGGCGAAGGCGGCGUUCUGGACUGCUACUGACACUGAGGAACGAAAGCCAGGGGAGCAAACGGG
rnacentral:rRNA from 1 species